AAACGAAAACACAUCGAGUGUGUAUUGGGGUAUUUUGAAAGAUAUUUUUCUGUAUUAGUGAGAGUGUGUUGGUGCAUUCCUUCCCAACUGUUACUUUCCUUCCCGACCGUUUUCUUUCCCUACCGACCGACUCAUAUCAUAGCUCACGUAUACAG